rnacentral:misc_RNA from 1 species
GACACAACCAUAUCUGAAAGGUGCUUCUCAGCUUCCUGGAUGCUCAGACACAACAACUCUGCAAGUCUCUUCACAGUAAUCCUUGAAUAGUACUUAGAAACAACAAGGAUAUUAUGUUCAAUUAUUCUUUGCUUCAAAUCUUCUGCUGCUUUGUCACCCAAAGAGCCUCCAAGCAAGUCCUUCUCAGUGUCAAACUCAUCAUUGUAUGUAUUCCAAAGAGAUGUCCAUUG